UGCCUAGACACUCCCUUAGAUGUCUGUGAAAAUCCUAUCCAACAUAAGAACUAAGUUCAGAUGAUCACUAUGUCCUCCUUCAGCUUAGAAAUCAAGUUAUGACAAAUAACAGCUGAAACCAGCGGAAUGGAUAGAAAAUACUUGUAUAUUUGUGUAGAAUUUCCAGCCAAGCAGAACAGCGAGAACGUACUUAGGCACAGAAGAACCAAGUCUGGAUAUGUCAGUACAGCACAACACUUGGGCAGAGCUCUGUUGAAGUAAAUGUCACUAUGCCUGGAGUAAGAGGCUAUAGAGAGGCAUAAAGGUAUAAACAUCAGAUCUAGAGAGAUCAAGGACAAGAAUUUGCCGGAGGAGCAAACCUUUUUCUUUAGGGGAAGAAGGGAGUCUCAAUUCUGAGAUACUCAAAAAGGGACAAUUUAAAAGAACCUGGUUUUCAGAGGCUGUGGUCAGCACAAGAAGAGCUAAUUAUAAGAGUCACUUGAACAGUUCAGUUCCAAAAAACACUUUGAAAAGCCUGGUCUAAGUGCCAGGGUACUACAGGGCCUUGCAAGUUAUUUCUAGAAGUGACAGCACUUCCUCAGUUCCUCUGACCUUUCCUGGACUAUACAAGAGUUUCAAAGGUAACUACUGAUCCAGAGGACUUCCAUUUUUGGUGCUCUGCUUGCCAUUUCUGAUCUACCUGACCUUUGGGAAAUAGAUUCCUGUCUCUCGAAAAUCAGAGUAUUGUGGGAGGUUUAAAGCUUGUCACCCUAGUCACUUCUGAACAUUUCAGCUUGCAUUCUCCCACUCCUUUAUGGGAUUUUUUCCUGUUGUAAAGUUUGCUUCUUCCUUCACAGUGAUUAUUAACAGAUUUUUCUAAAAUGCCCAAAGCAGCAUACUUAGGUCAGAAGACAGAAGCUAGCAUGUUUUGUCUGCCAGCUUCUUCCCUUAUUUAUCAUAUAACAUUUCCCUUAUGUAUCCCCAGGUGAUGCACAGGUCUAGUUCCAUUGUUGCUUUGUGGGGCAAUAAGUAGGUUCUUGCCUGGAAACAGACAGAGUUCAAAGGUUUUAGAGAGAGAGAGGAGAUUCCCUUAUUUCUUUUUUAAUCAAAGGACCUUUAAUAGAAUAUAGAAAGAAUUCGUGGACAUUUAGAAAUAUCUGUCAUAAGAAGAAUUUGUGGCUUUAUGAAAUAUUUCUCUAGUGAUUUUUUUUUAAAUGCUCAAUAAUGAGACUGUAAAAUAUCAACAAACAAAAUUAAUAGCCCUGUGAAAACACUUCAAGAAAUAAUACUGGAGUGGACUGAGGUGUUAGGUGGACAGGUUAGUAGGCAUUUUUCUUUGAAAGUAUAUGAAUGAAACAGAGCAAAAAGAUGUUUUCCUUUCUUUGGCAAGGUUUUUUCACUGUAUGUCAUAUUUAGCUCAGCUAACCUUGGGGCUAAGUGAACAUUGCUUGGUCGGGAGUUUGAAUUCAGUCAGAGAAAUGUUUGGGUGUUGGCACACUAUGUCACCUGAACCUGAAAAAUUAGGAUGGAAACCUUGAAAGAGGUUUUCCACAGUGAGAGAUGAUGUUGUCAGCCCUGUGUAGAUGUUUAACACUAUUUUUUUUCACAGUCUUUUUUUUUUU